rnacentral:rRNA from 1 species
GUCCACGCCGUAAACGAUGAAUGCCAGCCGUUGGGGUGCAUGCACCUCAGUGGCGCAGCUAACGCUUUAAGCAUUCCGCCUGGGGAGUACGGUCGCAAGAUUAAAACUCAAAGGAAUUGACGGGGGCCCCGCACAAGCGGUGGAGCAUGUGGUUUAAUUCGAAGCAACGCGCAGAACCUUACCAGCUUUUGACAUGUCCGGUUUGAUCGACAGAGAUGUCUUUCUUCAGUUCGGCUGGCCGGAACACAGGUGCUGCAUGGCUGUCGU